rnacentral:lncRNA from 1 species
UUGGCACAAACAUUUACAGAGCUGAUGUAUUUUACCUGGUGAGUAAAAACAGGAGUGAGUUACUAGAAGAAAAAUAAGCACAGAAGUUGAGAAGAUACUGAAGAAGUAAAGGCUAAAGGCUAAGGGGGUUUGUAACAAAGUCCAGGUAGCAAAUACAAGGAUAGACUCACAGAGAAGUGCAAGCAAGAAAGAAUACAAAAAUAGAUGGGACUGAUCAGCCCUUGAAGAGCCUCUGAAAACCCAGACCUAUAUGAGUGAAUGAAACCUUGAUUUUGACUUAAGAUAAUGAAAGAAUAAAAGAGAAAUAGUAACUCCUUUUAUGCAGAAUGGAUCAGCAUUAGAGCAUGGCCAGGUCCUGUUGUCUCCAUCCUUCCUCCUUAAUCUCCUUCCACUUGAGCUGUACAAACAACAGUCAACACGGUUUUGAGGAAAUCAACAGUAUCUGCCUCUGAAGUCUUUACAGAGCAACUGUCUACAAAUCCAAAGUCUAAUGACUAGAGACCAUUGCAAGGUAAAUGUCUUCAAAUCUUUUUC